rnacentral:rRNA from 1 species
AACGAACGCUGGCGGCAUGCCUAACACAUGCAAGUCGAACGUGAUCCGGAGCUUGCUCCGGUGAAAGUGGCGCACGGGUGAGUAACGCGUGGGAACCUGCCCAGAGGUAGGGAAUAACCGCGGGAAACUGCGGCUAAUACCCUAUAUUCCCUUCGGGGGAAAGAUUUAUCGCCUUUGGAUGGGCCCGCGUCGGAUUAGCUAGUUGGUGAGGUAACGGCUCACCAAGGCGACGAUCCGUAGCUGGACUGAGAGGAUGAUCAGCCACACUGGGACUGAGACACGGCCCAGACUCCUACGGGAGGCAGCAGUGGGGAAUAUUGGACAAUGGGCGCAAGCCUGAUCCAGCAAUGCCGCGUGAGUGAUGAAGGCCUUAGGGUUGUAAAGCUCGUUCGGCGGGGAAGAUGAUGACGGUACCCGCAGAAGAAGCCCCGGCUAACUUCGUGCCAGCAGCCGCCGCCGUAA